GAUGAAGAACGUAGCGAAAUGCGAUAAGUAAUGUGAAUUGCAGAAUUCAGUGAAUCAUCGAAUCUUUGAACGCUCAUUGCGUCCGCCAGUAUUCUGGCGGGCAUGCCUGUUCGAGCGUCAUUUCAACCAUCAAGCCCCAGGCUUGUGUUGGGGACCUGCGGCUGCCGCAGGCCCUGAAAACCAGUGGCGGGCUCGCUGUCACACCGGGCGUAGUAGAUUUUAUCUCGCUCAGGGCGUGCUGCGGGUUCCGGCCGUUAAAAAGCCUUUUUUACCCAAGGUUGACCUCGGAUCAGGUAGGAAGACCCGCUGAACUUAAGCAUAUCAAUAAGCGGAGGA
rnacentral:misc_RNA from 1 species